UAUAAGGAAACGGUUUAUUCGCAUCGCGUGACGUAACCUUCAGAGAAUCUCAGCACUCAAUCUCUUGCGCUUCCCCAACAUUAGGCAACUUGAUGUGCUCUCUUGCUUGUUCCCGUAGGGCAAAACAAACUAAAUACACACAU